UCGACUCAGGGACAAAAGUUAUUUUAGCCCGCACCGCCGAAGCCGACGGGCUGAACGAUCACGGCGGCGGUGCCAAGGGCUCGGCUAACGCGCAUAUCUGGGAAAACAAGAGAUGUCAGACGAAGAACUGAAAGGAAUGAGAGAGCAGAUCAGUGACACAGCGAUUGAAAAAUGCCACAAAGCACCGGGACAGAAACACUGUCUGCCACCUGCCUCUAAAUCACUUUUUUUCAUUCCAGAAGCUGGGGAGCAGGGAACUGUAUGCAGAGGAGGCUGCCCUCGCUCUGCGAGUCCUUUGUCUCCUAAUAUCUCCAGGCUCCGCCCCUCUCUCAGCCAGCCCUCCAAUGGGAGAGCCUUCAGGUGUUGACCUUAUCAGGUGGAGGUCAAAGCCAGGUCAGGGAUCUGUUGCUAGGCUACCAUCAGAUAAGUGGCUGGGGUAGGCAGCGGUGGGUAGCGCUGUCAUUCAGGGUUUGUCAUGUAAUCUUGUUCAUUUGCAGACAAUUGUUUGGACGUCAGAAAGGCUAUCUGGCCCAUACUGUUGUAAUGAAACACAUUAAAAUAUUAAAACCAGCCAUGCUGAGCAU